AACGAACGCUGGCGGCAUGCCUAACACAUGCAAGUCGAACGAGACCUUCGGGUCUAGUGGCGCACGGGUGCGUAACGCGUGGGAACCUACCCUUAGGUUCGGAAUAACUCCCCGAAAGGGGUGCUAAUACCGGAUAAUGUCUUCGGACCAAAGAUUUAUCGCCUUUGGAUGGGCCCGCGUUGGAUUAGCUAGUUGGUAGGGUAAAAGCCUACCAAGGCGACGAUCCAUAGCUGGUCUGAGAGGAUGAUCAGCCACACUGGGACUGAGACACGGCCCAGACUCCUACGGGAGGCAGCAGUGGGGAAUAUUGGACAAUGGGCGAAAGCCUGAUGCAGCAAUGCCGGGUGAGUGAUGAAGGCCUUAGGGUUGUAAAGCUCUUUUAACCGGGAUGAUAAUGACAGUACCGGGAGAAUAAGCCCCGGCUAACUCCGUG
rnacentral:rRNA from 1 species